CAAAGGUUAUGAACUUCAAGAACUAUAUUAAACUAAAUGUCUUUCAUCGUUGUGGUAUCGUUGUUCGGAGCGUACAUCAAAGAUAAAGUUCAAACGUUAGAUUAGAAAA
rnacentral:rRNA from 1 species